AACGAACGCUGGCGGCGUGCCUAACACAUGCAAGUCGAACGCGAGGCGCCCUUUCGGGGGCGUAGUAGAGUGGCGCACGGGUGAGUAACACGUAGACAACCUGCCUUCGAGCCCGGGAUAACCUUUCGAAAGAAGGGCUAAUACCGGAUAACACUUGGGAUCGCAUGAUCCUGGGUUGAAAGGCUUGCUACUCGAAGAGGGGUCUGCGGGACAUUAGCUAGUUGGUGGGGUAACGGCCUACCAAGGCGAUGAUGUCUAGCGGGUCUGAGA
rnacentral:rRNA from 1 species